UUUUUUUUUUUUUUUUUUUUUUCCAACCUGUAUGUAAACUAUCAAAGUUUUUGGGAUGGAGACAUGAGAUGUGGGUCGGUCAGGCAGAAAAGGCAAAGCUUUCUAAUUUUAAACCAGAAGAGACAAGACAACUUAAUUUGUCAUAUUGAAAUCUUAUUACAACCAAUCUAGAAUUGGAAAUAUGUGCUUUCUGUUUUUUCUUUCCUUUUGGCAAACUUCAUAACUGUAGGUGGGAACACUCAGACCUUCCAUUCAUGCUGUUUCUUGUUUCUUUCCUGUCGUGUCUUGGGUCUCAUGCUAUUUUUGUGAGCUCUAGGUCAUAGUGCUCAGAGAGAAGAGAGACUUAGGUGGAACCAUGGGGGUUUGAUUUUCUACUUUGGAAAGGACGCUCCCAGCCCCACUUUAAGUAUGGCUGUGGGGGAGCCCCAUACCUGCAAGGGCAGGUUUGAUCCUGUGAGGGUCCUCUCUCACCUACCCCUAGCCAUUCUAACUGUUAGCGCACAGAGGAAUGGACAAAGGGAAUUUGCAGAGUUUUCUUAUUCAACAGUUUUGAAUUGGAGACUCAGUAAUGGCAGCUUAUCAGUGGGCAGUUAAACUUUGUUUACUUGAACCUUACACAUGCAAGAUGUCCUCGUGGGGUAAACCUUUCUCUUUGGGGGAAGCUUUGUGGGUACCUUUGCACUGCUGCAUUUCUGCCAUACACCCACCCCCACCCCAACCUGCUGAUAUGUGGUCCCUGGGGACAAAUCAAGGAAGCUCUGGGGAGCUGCUCCUUCAGUUUGGUUUGGCAGAACUUUUGGCCUUUGCUUUAUAAGGUUUCAGGGAGCAUUUCCUGCCUGGAGAGAAGGUGGGUUUGCACAUUGCAGUGAGCACGAACAUCUCAGGUAACGCCUUUGAAGCCUGGGUCUCCUAGUUCCUUAGGUUCUCCCUGCAAGAAGUCAGUCUGUCUCUGUCUCUCUGUCUCACCUUCUCCCUGCUUGCUUGCACUCCUGUGUGCUCUCCCUCCCACCUUCCCUUCUUCCCUCCAUCCCUCCCUUUCGUCAUCAUCUCUCCCCCCACCCCCCCAAGCUUGUUGACUUGGAAAAAAGAGGUUGUGAAUUGCAGCCUGGCCUGCAUCCCUGCUGCUGGGAUGCCAGGUGAAAGCUCUAUUCUGUCUUGGAUGCUAACUUGCCUAUGGGAAAGUGAGAACCAGUUUACAGUAGCCUGACACUGCCUUUACCUUGCCUAGGUCCUCUCUAGCUGCUCCUAGUCCUUCCCAGCCUCUGCCAUGCACACAGUUUGUUCUUGGGUGUGAAGGCAAACAGUAUUUGCCUUGGCAGCACGUUUCUCUUUCACGAAAGCUUGCUGUCUCGGCACGAAACCACAGCACGAGCUGCUCAAGGUUCCACCAGCGUGAUGGCCUUUUCCCACAUUUCCUUCCUUUAAGGAAACAGAUUUUUGAACUUUUUUUUUUUUUUAAAGGACUAAAUGCCAACAUUUAACAGCUGGAGUCAGUCUGUAUUUUAUGGUUUUCACUUUAUGUUCUUGUGGAUAUAGAUAAAUUUAAAAAUCCACAAUUAUUGCUAAGUUAUGCAAGUUUUUACAGAAACUGAUUUAAAAUAGAUCCUCUGUUACAAGGAAUUCAAGAGAGGCAUUGUUACCCAAACAGGUAUUCUCAAUUAUUCUAUCUUUAAUGGUUUUUAAUUGUUCUAAUUUACUUGUAGUUUGUUACAUCUCAGGGAAGCCUCUGAAAUCCCUUUGUUAUUUUUCCUUUGAGGAACAAAUCGUGAUUUAUUCAUUUGAACCACUUUUAGUUUAAAAAAAAUAGUAAGGUAAUUUACUUAAUUCUAUUUACUUAUGCCCCCCACCCCGCCCCAGCAAGUGAGGGCUGCUCUUUGAUAACUCUGGGUCUUAGCACUCAGAGGAUAGACUGCCCCUUCUCAGGGUGAUGACUCUCAGUUCUAGCACUCAGAGGAUAGACUGCCCCUUCUCAGGGUGAUGACUCUCAGUCCUAGCACUCAGAGGAUAGACUGCCCCUUCUCAGGGUGAUGACUCUCAGUCCUAGCACUCAGAGGAUAGACUGCCCCUUCUCAGGGUGAUGACUCUCGGUCUUAGCACUCAGAGGAUAGACUGCCCCUUCUCAGGGCAGUGGUGUAGACCAGAAUAAAGCUCAUGUGCCUUUUGUAGACGUUUGUGGCUCUUUGUUAGCCAUGGACUCUGUCUCAUGGUCCAGUUGCAGUUUAUCCUCUUUUUCUUAGCUUUAUUGUCCUCACCCUGUUUACUAUGAAGAGCCUUAAUAGGCCAGGGCCCACUACCAACUUGAACCAUAUCAGAUCUGGGAUGAGAAUACAGGCAGUCAAGAAAUAAAUGACUGUGUGUUACCUCCAGACAGUACUUUUUUAUCAUAUCUAUGCCCAGACAUUAGAGUUUUGGUUUUCUUUAUUGUUAAAAUUUCUGUUCAUAGAGACAAAAGUUCUAAGAAUCUUUACACUGCCCUGACCCCACCACCACCUGCCCACCACCUCGCCCUGCAGCUUUCAUUACAAUGCAGCCAGCUCUACUGUGUUCUCAGAAAAUACAAUAGGAAGUGAGAGACCUUUUGCUGAAGACAAAGUGUGACUCUGAAGAUCAUUCGAUCUCCUGGUAGAUUUAGGGUCAGAGCAUUAGCUGUGAUGAAUAACUGGGGACAGAGUUUUUCUUUCCUUUCCGGGGAUAGUGGCCGUUAAUCAUUUUUAUCUGCCUGCCUUGUAGACUUGAUUAGAUUUAUUAUGUAUGCCGCAUGUUUAUGGCGUUUUUAUUAUAUGUUGUUAAUUUGUUGUAACUGCCACCACAUUUUUUUCCUUCUUCCUUUUUUUCCCCUCCCUUGAGACCCCUUGAAAACAACUGUCAACUGUUACCUUGUGCCUUAGAAAAUAUCAUUUAAUUUUCAGUGUUAGUAAAAGCCAUCCUAGGCUAUAGGUUAACAAAAUGCCAGCGUUAACAGCAUGUAUCUCACUGCAGACAAGGAAAGGUGUAUUUAAAUUCCCCUGAAUUCUGCUUUCUGUCCAUGAUGGAGCAUGGGUGGAUUAGAACACAAGCCAUACAAACAGCUCCUAAGGAUCAUAGAAAGGGGAGCCAUGUUCAAAGGCAGGUUGGGAAUUCUCAUUUUGUUCAUUAGCAGAAAAUCAUAUAUAUCAUUUCCACAUCACUGCUAGGUAAGACAAUUGAGCUGUUUAACAUUUAAGCUGCUUUAAAAGUCGCGCAGCGAAUGAGGCGUUUUAGAACGGCGUCUACUUUCUUAGCUCUGUGCUCUCAGUAUGGCUAUGGGAUCUGUUAAAUAUAGAGGCCAUGCUUUAAAUAAGGACGACAGUUAAAAUUGGGAAGCCAGAGAAUUAGAUUGGAAAUGAUUUACGGUGAGUCUAGAGGACAUU
rnacentral:lncRNA from 1 species